GACAGAGGGGGCAAGCGUUGCUCGGAAUUACUGGGCGUAAAGGGCGCGUAGGCGGGAUGGCAAGUCGGUCGUGAAAUCCCUCGGCUCAACUGAGGAUCGUCGAUCGAUACUGCCGUUCUUGAGGAUUGCAGAGGAGACUGGAAUUCCCGGUGUAGCGGUGAAAUGUGUAGAGAUCAGGAGGAACACCGGUGGCGAAGGCGGGUCUCUGGGCCAUUACUGACGCUGAGGAGCGAAAGCGUGGGGAGCGAACAGG
rnacentral:rRNA from 1 species